UUUCUGAUGCCUGCACCAGCUGUUAGAAAAAGGCCUCUUCUGGUCAAUACUGAAGAAGUCGAUGCUAACCUGGAUGAAUGGAUGAAAGAUGCAAGCUACCCAGAGACAGGGUUUGGAAAAAAAAAUGCGAUAACGAAAGCAUAUCCUUAAUAUUAUAGUCAGUGCUGCCUCUCGACAUCUGCCUGUUUCUGUUUUGACAACAGUCUCACAACAACAAGAAAUAAAAGCAGGAGUAGGUCAUCAUGUCUGCUCUGCCAAUCAUUAAGGUAGAGAAAUCCUCUUGCUUUUACACUGCCCCUUCUCCAAAAGUUAAUCUUGAAGAGCAAACUGAUUCUCCAGUAGGGGUGGAUCUGAUUAAAGGGAUGUGAUCAUGGACACAGGUUUCAUGACCUGCCAAGCAACUGCC